GACGGAGGGAGCAAGCGUUGUCCGGAUUUACUGGGCGUGAAGAGCGCGUAGGCGGUUCGUUAAGUCAACUGUGAAAUCGCUGGGCUCAACCCAGCAACUGCAGUUGAUACUGGCGGGCUCGAGUUCGGGAGAGGGAAGCGGAAUUGCUGGUGUAGCGGUGGAAUGCGUAGAGAUCAGCAAGAACACCGGUGGCGAAGGCGGCUUCCUGGACCGAUACUGACGCUGAGGCGCGAAAGCUAGGGGAGCGAACGGG
rnacentral:rRNA from 1 species